UGAUCAUGGCUCAGGACGAACGCUGGCGGCACGCCUAACACAUGCAAGUCGAGCGGAGAUUGAGAGCUUUGCUCUCAAUGAUCAGCGGCGGACGGGUGAGUAACACGUGAGUAACCUGCCUUUCAGGAGGGGGACAACAGUUGGAAACGACUGCUAAUACCGCAUAACAUUGCCGAACGGCAUCGUUUGGCAAUCAAAAGGAGCAAUCCGCUGAAAGAUGGGCUCGCGU
rnacentral:rRNA from 1 species